rnacentral:misc_RNA from 1 species
CGGAUUUUCGAGAGUUUCCCUCGAUUUCUCUGGGAUCCCAUUAUCAGAUCCUGGUUUCCUUAUCACGGUACCAAACUAGGGAUAUCCCCUUUCCAACAAAAAAAGAAUUAUCAAAAUUGGUACAUCCAGUAGAAAGUUAUGCGGUAUAAUACAACGUAGGUCGACGAAAAAAGCGUCAAGUAAAAACGCAUUAUUAGAUAUAGCUCGAAAAGUAGUUGUUG